CCUACGGGAGGCAGCAGUGAGGAAUAUUGGUCAAUGGCCGGAAGGCUGAACCAGCCAAGCCGCGUGAAGGACGAAGGUGCCAAGCAUUGUAAACUUCUUUUGUCAAGGGACAAAAUCAGGCUCGAGAGCCUGACCGAGGGUACUUGAAAAAAAAGCAUCGGCUAACUGCGUGCCAGCAGCCGCGGUAAUACGGAGGAUGCGAGCGUUAUCCGGAUUUAUUGGGUUUAAAGGGUGCGUAGGCGGGAUGUUAAGUCAGCGGUAAAAGUCCGGGGCUCAACCCCGGCGAGCCGUUGAAACUGGCUGUCUUGAGAGGGCGAGAGGUAUGCGGAAUGCGCAGUGUAGCGGUGAAAUGCUUAGAUAUUGCGCAGAACUCCGAUUGCGAAGGCAGCAUACCGGCGGCGAUCUGACGCUGAGGCACGAAAGCGUGGGUAUCGAACAGGAUUAGAUACCCCAGUAGUC
rnacentral:rRNA from 1 species